rnacentral:rRNA from 1 species
GGGUAAACCUGCGAAACUCGAAUGAACGAACGGAGAGAUUCAUCGUCAUUCCGCGGCGUACGGGCGCGCGUCUCGAUGUCACCGAUCUCGGUCGGGCGGCACGGAUCGCGUUCGUCGACGUCCGCGGACGGCGUGCACUUCUCUCUCAGUAAUACAUCGCGACCCGUUCGAUGUCGGUCUAAGCGCCGUUCGGGAGCCCUGUUGUCCCCAUUGCGGGCGGCAGGACCGUGACGGACGCCGACCGGCUGUCGGACGGUAUGACAAGUGAAUCGCGCACGCGUUAACGCGCGUCCGGCCCGACGCAAGGCAACGUCGUCGCCGAAGUCCUGCCCGAGUGCGGACGUCGGUGCGGCGCGCCUGCUGUUGCUGCCGUGCAGUCUCGGACUGUGCGCGUAUCUGUCUGCGAUGAUUCAGUUUCGGGCACUCGCAGGACCCGUCUUGAAACACGGACCAAGGAGUCUAGCAUGUGUGCGAGUCAUUGAGAUAACAAAACUGAAAGGCGCAACGAAAGUGAAGGCGCGCGCUCGCCGCGCGCUCAGGGAGGAUGGAGCGUCGGUCUAGGUCGACCUCUCGCACUCCCGAGGCGUCUCGUUUCCAAUCCGUGAAUGCAGGCGCGCUCUGAGCACAGAUGCUGGGACCCGAAAGAUG